GAGUUCCAGCUACAGUGCAGGACUACACCUACCUGCCAACUUUUCCCAUGGGCCUUCAAUUAGUACAUUGGAAUAGGAGUUCGGAUGCUGGGGCAAGGGAAAGAGAGCUAAGAAGGGUCCUGCUGAGGUUUUCUCAAACAAUGAUGAAGGCCUUAUUAACAAAAAGUUACCCAAAGAACUUCUGUUAAGAAUAUUUUCCUUCUUGGAUAUAGUAACUUUGUGCCGAUGUGCACAGAUUUCCAAGGCUUGGAACAUCUUAGCCCUGGAUGGAAGCAACUGGCAAAGAAUAGAUCUUUUUAACUUUCAAACAGAUGUAGAGGGUCGAGUGGUGGAAAAUAUCUCGAAGCGAUGCGGUGGAUUCCUGAGGAAGCUCAGCUUGCGAGGCUGCAUUGGUGUUGGGGAUUCCUCCUUGAAGACCUUUGCACAGAACUGCCGAAACAUUGAACAUUUGAACCUCAAUGGAUGCACAAAAAUCACUGACAGCACGUGUUAUAGCCUUAGCAGAUUCUGUUCCAAGCUGAAACAUC
rnacentral:lncRNA from 1 species